GGGGCGUUCUAAAGAGGAAAACACCUGUUUUCUGCGCCUUAGCUUGUUGCGCUGUUUCCUACACACGGGUGAGGUCAGAGGUUCAAAUCCUCUAUCGCCCCACCA
rnacentral:tRNA from 1 species